rnacentral:rRNA from 1 species
UACGUAGGGUGCGAGCGUUACUCGGAAUUACUGGGCGUAAAGCGUGCGCAGGCGGUUCGUUAAGUCAGCUGUGAAAGCCCCGGGCUUAACCUGGGAAUUGCGGUUGAAACUGGCGAACUAGAAUCUGGCAGAGGGGGGUGGAAUUCCACGUGUAGCAGUGAAAUGCGUAGAUAUGCGGAGGAACACCGAUGGCGAAGGCAAUCCCCUGGGCCUGCACUGACGCUCAUGCACGAAAGCGUGGGGAGCAAACAGG